GGACUUCCAGAAGGGAGAAGUACCCUCCUCACCCCUCUUCUUCCCCACACCCGUCCUCGCUCGCCCGCCGGCCCCUUUCCGCACCUCCUUCUCCCCUCAAGUGAGAAAAGCCUAGUUCCCGAGCCGGUGUACGCGGUUGCCUUACCCCUCCCCGCUCCCACGCGGGUGCCCCCUCCAGCCAUCGCUACUGCCACCACCUCGGUUCCACUCAAUCGAUUUUUGCUGCAUGUCAACACUUAUUCCCGCUCCUUCUCUGCCUGAAACUACCACCUGUGGAUUUGCACACAUCGUCAAAGUCAUGUGUUCCAGGAGAGCACAGAUACAGUCCUGUGUAGAGUUUAUAUUAGAACUUGGUGGAAAGACAUCUUCCUCCACUGAAGAGCUGCCCCUUUUCCACCCUCCUCUGAGUGCUUUCCCUUUCUCAUUUCUUCCAACAUCUUUCUUGGGGUAAGUUUAAAUCUCACAUUUCUCUCCUUUUACUUUUUGAAUUUCAUUUCUGGACACUCAUUGUUCCCAUACCUGAAAACUAUUUUUUGUCAAUUACCAUGUAGCAUAUUUUAAUAUGAGUUAAGAUCCAAGAGGUUCACUUUCUUUUACACUUUUUGUGGGAGCUUGGCAUAAUACUUAGUAAAUAGUAGAUGUUCAAUAAACACCAAUUUAUCAAACGGUACA
rnacentral:lncRNA from 1 species